rnacentral:rRNA from 1 species
GCGGUAAUACGUAGGGUGCGAGCGUUAAUCGGAAUUACUGGGCGUAAAGCGUGCGCAGGCGGUUUUGUAAGACAGGCGUGAAAUCCCCGGGCUCAACCUGGGAACUGCGUUUGUGACUGCAAGGCUAGAGUACGGCAGAGGGGGUGGAAUUCCACGUGUAGCAGUGAAAUGCGUAGAGAUGUGGAGGAACACCAAUGGCGAAGGCAGCCCCCUGGGUCGAUACUGACGCUCAUGCACGAAAGCGUGGGUAGCAAACAGGAUUAGAUACCCUGGUAGUCCACGCCCUAAACGAUGUCAACUAGGUGUUGGGUGGGUAAAACCAUUUAGUACCGGAGCUAACGCGUGAAGUUGACCGCCUGGGGAGUACGGCCGCAAGGUUAAAACUCAAAGGAAUUGACGGGGACCCGCACAAGCGGUGGAUGAUGUGGAUUAAUUCGAUGCAACGCGAAAAACCUUACCUACCCUUG